UUUCACUGAUGUGAUUAAGGCAGUUUCGUGUUGUAGAGAACGCUUAAGCCCCAACAACAUGAAACUACCUAAACCACAGGCCAGUUCUC